rnacentral:tRNA from 1 species
GCUCUCGUGGCGUAAUUGGAUAACGCGUUUGACUUCUAUAUCUUCUUACAUCAAAAGAUAUCAAAAGAUUGCGGGUUCGAGUCCCGCCGAGAGCU